AUUCCAGCUCCAAUAGCGUAUAUUAAUGUUGUUGCAGUUAAAAAGCUCGUAGUUGAAUUUCUGGUUAAAAUCUUAGCUGGCUUUGGUCGUUAAUGUUUUAAUCAUCCGUUAGAGAACUAUAACCGUCCUUAACUGGUCAUUAUAGAGAUCUAACAUUUUACUUUGAAAAAAUUAGAGUGUUCAAGGCAGGCAAUCGUCAUGAAUACUAUAGCAUGGAAUAAUGGAAUAGGACUUUGGUUCAUUUUAUUGGUUAUCGAACCUUAGUAAUGGUUAACAGGGACAGUUGGGGGCAUUAGUAUUUAAUUGUCAGAGGUGAUAUUCUUGGAUUUAUCAAAGACUAACUUAUGCGAAAGCAUUUGCCAAGGAUGUUUUCAUUA
rnacentral:rRNA from 1 species